rnacentral:rRNA from 1 species
UACGAACCGUACAAACGUUAUUCGGAAUCACUGGGCUUAAAGGGUGCGUAGGCGGCCAUGUAAGUGAGGUGUGAAAUCCCUCGGCUCAACCGAGGAACUGCGCUUCAUACUGCAUGGCUUGAGGGAGACAGGGGUAAGCGGAACUGAUGGUGGAGCGGUGGAAUGCGUAGAGAUCCCCAAGAACACCAGUUGCGAAGGCGGCUGACUGGACACAUAUUGACGCUGAGGCUCGAAAGCAUGGGGAGCAAACAGG